UAAUACGUAGGGGGCUAGCGUUGUCCGGAAUCAUUGGGCGUAAAGAGCGUGUAGGCGGUCCGGUAAGUCCGUUGUGAAAGUCAAGGGCUCAACCCUUGAAUGCCGGCGGAUACUGUCGGGCUAGAGUCCGGAAGAGGCGAGUGGAAUUCCCGGUGUAGCGGUGAAAUGCGCAGAUAUCGGGAGGAACACCUAUGGCGAAGGCAGCUCGCUGGGACGGAACUGACGCUGAGACGCGAAAGCGUGGGGAGCAAACAGGAUUAGAUACCCUGGUAGUCCACGCCGUAAACGAUGGGCACUAGGUGUGGGAGGUGUCGACUCCUUCCGUGCCGAAGCUAACGCAUUAAGUGCCCCGCCUGGGGAGUACGGCCGCAAGGCUA
rnacentral:rRNA from 1 species